AUGUUGAUGGUAGUCAUAGCCGGGAUUGGCGCUUACGGGCAUUUCUACCGCCACCAUCCUUUGAUCCGCUUCCUCUAUCUAGGAGCUACCACCUUGUUCCUUCCCAUCGUCUCCUAUCUCGCCUCCACCUUAAAAAGUCCUUACACCUUCAACAUUUACAUAAAAUCCCACCGAGUCAUAACAGCUGAAUGUCGAGCGCCCGAACAUGUGAUCCUGGUCAUGUUGUGGAUUGGUCUUGUACAGAUAGUGGGUACCAAUGCCAACGCGACCGUGGCUGGUGAUUCAAGAGAAGGUCGAAGCAUUGCACCUCCUUUAGUGCAACGUGUUCAAGCAAUAUGGACAUCCUACAUUGCCUACAUCAUCAUAGAGUCGGGUGGUAGUCCAUCUGGAUAUGUCAAAUGGAAUAAAGAUAAUAUGCUUUAUUCGUUGAUAUAUCUCAUCUUUGCAAUACCAUAUGCUCUUAUCCUGGCCAAGUUGCUUUUCAAAUAUUAUGCAUGGUACAAAGCUAGGCGAUCAUUAGCGCUUGGACGCAAUCCCCGUCUCAUUGUUGGAUAUAUGGAGCAGAUGCAGUAUGGAACCCAUCAUGCUGAGCUAGUAAGUCAACAUGUACCUCCUCCACUUAUAGUUAUGAGAGAGGGCACCGUUUUGGUAGAAAAACAACCUCAUGGCUACAGCUUGAUAGGGAUGAGCAAUAAUGGCCUAGUGACCAUCGACCAAGUUCGGAAAUUGGAUGACAUGAUGCUUCCAAGGCCAGCAGAGCAACACAAGGAUUUGUGCCUUUCGUUUGCAUUAUUCAAGUUGUUGCGUUGUCGGUUUGCAAGGUACACAAUUAGUGAGGCUGGGUGUAUGGAAGUUAGCAACUUUAUACGACAUGUGUUGCUCACAGAUAGUGAUGAUGAAAGGGUCCUUGGCGUGAUUGAACAUGAGCUUUCAUUUCUUCGUGAUUACUAUUAUACAUCCCUCCCAAUAUCAUAUUCACAGAGUUGGCUACCCAUCUUGGGUGUGUAUAUUUCAGUCUCAAGCAUGCUUAUUUGCCAUCGUGUUUUGCAUAUUGUGGUUCCAUAG
rnacentral:rRNA from 1 species